UUUUGUGAUUUCAUGUUGGACUGCUUUGUAAGAUAUUCACACAACAGUAGUGUAUAAAAGAAAGCCUGUUCUAUGUUCAUACUGUCAAAACAAACAAACAAAAAAAGGCAUAAAUUACGUGAAGGUAAUGGGGUCAUACACCCAGUGCACAUGGCUAGCAUGCAGUUUUCCAUACCGAAAUCAUACCGCAGAUGCUAAUUUGGCCAAAACAAAUUGAACCCAUUUUACAAUUUCAGGGCUAUGAAUGUGUAUGUAUAUAAGGUAAAUGGAUAAGGAACAAAUGGUAUGCAUGUUUACAAAUGCAAAUACAUUGAUCUUCACCACAAACGUUAAGUAGUCUUGGAGCACUGUGGCUUAUUUCUUCAUCCCAAAGAAAAUCAAUAACUGCUAAAGGCAGCAGUCAAGCACACCAUUAAAGGCCAACAGUGUAAACAAUCUAUCAUGCCUGUUAUUUCAAUAACUGUCAGGUAAUCAGCGUGCACAUUUUAAAUAAAAAAUUUUUGCAAAGAAAAACACGGUCCAAAAACGCUGGAUUGCUGCACAGUAAUAAUUAAUAUCAAUCAAGCGCUUUGGCCAGUGAUGUGAUCUGACUUAAUGCUCUCCCUCGCAUUUUCCUCUCCUGAGGUCCACAACGCCUUUGUGCAGUCUUUGACCCACUUUGGCUGCAGGUCUUCAGUUUUGUGUGUGUGUGUGUGUGUGUGUGUGUGUGUGUGUGUGUGUGUGUGUGUGUGGAAUUGGGGUCAGUCAGGACUGGCUCUAUUGAUGGAGGAUCCCGGAGCUAUAAUUUUACUUACUCUCCAACCAUCAGCUGCUUUUCCCUUCUCAUACAGAGCAGACAAUACGUCUCUCCUAAACCUUUUCCACUUCCCCUUUGGCAUGUACAGUAAUACCACUACGGCCUCAAGCACUAGCACUAAAAAUAAACACGACGGGAAGUGAAAUUAAUCAAAAAAAAGAAAAGAAAAAAAUUUAAUAGCAUCCAUCCAUCUAUCUAUCUAUCUAUCUACACUCAACCAGACGGCAAUCUUGACUCAAACACUUCUCUGAAUAUUACACUUCCCUUCAAAUAAGCCGCUUGAAAUAUUUCCCAAGCGACCCACAGAUAGAUAGACUAAUAUUCAGAAAGUAAUUUCGAUAACCUGAUGUUGAAGUUGAAGCAGUCCUGACGGCCAACCAGCAAGACGAGUUAUCAAGCUACAAGCCAGCGGGUCAAACGUCGCAUUAAAGGGUUUCUCUUUUGCACAUUUUUAUAAACGUAGCACGUUCUUAGCAUGAGCUGCUAACGUAUUUACUCACCAUUAGUGUAACCCUAUCAUUUCCUGUAGUUACAAUGUAGCCACGUCUAGCUAGCGAUAUAGCAAACCACGGAGCUUGCAGUUCUGCGUUGGAAAAAGUUUCGGAAGUAAUUGAAAUAAUAAAUAAAAUGUUCCAUAUCUUACAUAUUGUAUAUGCACGCUUUCAGGAUAAAACAAAAACCAGUACACUUUAAAGACUUUUUUCCUCCCUCAGGCAUGAGUGUACUUAUUAAAGUUUGCAGCCGAUAACUGUAAAGAAAAUAAUAAAAAAAAAAAAAGUUAAAAAAGUAAGAAAGUAUGGGGGUUUUUUUUGCAUCGAUUUCUUCCUCUUAUUGCUGACAUUAAUUGUGUCCCAGAGUCCAGCGCAUUGUUUUUUUUGUGUGUUUUUUUUUUUAAAACUCGGCAGCAUUUUCCAGAGAGGGCCAUUAACCUCGGCUUUGAAAUAUCAAGCAAAUUAGCGUCGGCUCAGGACAAAGGCAAGCGCACGCGGCCUUUGUGUCACACUCGUCUUCCUUAUCAUUAGCCUUUAGCGAGGAAACACAGCAAUUAUUUGACAUCAGAAGGCCAGAGAGCUGUUCGGCUAAACAACAAUGGACUCAUUACGGCGUUUUUUUCUUCCGAAAUAAUUAGACAACGAGGGGCAAAUUUGCUGAUGGACGGCAAUCCGGGACAGAGAGAACGACUAAACAAACACAAACUGUUUUCCAGGCUUGACCUCUGCUCCAAUCGUUCAAUCCAGUGUGAGGAUUUCGGUGUCUUUUAUUAAAUAUUUUUUAAUAUAUUUUCUGUUUUUUCUCUGUCUAUCUUGUUUUCUAACCUCCUCCCCCCUAAAAAAAUGGCAGACGGGCCAACCGACAUAUGACUCUAGAAUGUUUCACAAUGUCUGGGUAGGUUGUUUUCAACUCUUUAACAUGACACCCUGGAAGCCCCGCCCCCUCCCAUCAUCUCAUCUUAGUGCUGUUGCAGCAGGUCAGCUCGUCUCGACCUGACAUUCUCGGGUGAAAGUAAAGGAGAAUGUUUUUCAUUCCAUUAAUGUGAAAUAAUAAAAAAAAUAAAAUCUAUCCGUUUACG
ensembl:lncRNA